rnacentral:rRNA from 1 species
UGGCGGCAUGCCUAAUACAUGCAAGUCGAACGAGAUCUUCGGAUCUAGUGGCGCACGGGUGCGUAACGCGUGGGAAUCUGCCCUUGGGUUCGGAAUAACUUCUGGAAACGGAAGCUAAUACCGGAUGAUGACGUAAGUCCAAAGAUUUAUCGCCCAAGGAUGAGCCCGCGUAGGAUUAGGUAGUUGGUGAGGUAAAGGCUCACCAAGCCGACGAUCCUUAGCUGGUCUGAGAGGAUGAUCAGCCACACUGGGACUGAGACACGGCCCAGACUCCUACGGGAGGCAGCAGUAGGGAAUAUUGGACAAUGGGCGAAAGCCUGAUCCAGCAAUGCCGCGUGAGUGAUGAAGGCCUUAGGGUUGUAAAGCUCUUUUACCCGGGAUGAUAAUGACAGUACCGGGAGAAUAAGCUCCGGCUAACUCCGUGCCAGCAGCCGCGGUAAUACGGAGGGAGCUAGCGUUGUUCGGAAUUACUGGGCGUAAA